rnacentral:rRNA from 1 species
UACGUAGGUGACAAGCGUUAUCCGGAUUUAUUGGGCGUAAAGCGCACGCAGGCGGUCUAUCAAGUCUGACGUGAAAUCUCUCGGCUUAACCGGGAGCGGUCGUUGGAAACUGAUGGACUUGAGGCGAUGAGAGGGGUGUGGAAUUCCCGGUGUAGUGGUGGAAUGCGUAGAUAUCGGGAUGAACAUCAGUGGCGAAAGCAGCACCCUGGCAUUAGCCUGACGCUCAUGUGCGAAAGCGUGGGGAGCGAACGGG